rnacentral:rRNA from 1 species
CCUACGUGUGUCAGCAGUGAGGAAUAUUGGUCAAUGGGCGCAAGCCUGAACCAGCCAAGUAGCGUGACGGAUGACUGCCCUACGGGUUGUAAACUUCUUUUAUAAAGGAAUAAAGUGAGGCACGUGUGCCUUUUUGUAUGUACUUUAUGAAUAAGGAUCGGCUAACUCCGUGCCAGCAGCCGCGGUAAUACGGAGGAUCCGAGCUUUAUCCGGAUUUAUUGGGUUUAAAGGGAGCGUAUAUGGGUUGUUAAGUCAGUUGUGAAAGUUUGCGGCUCAACCGUAAAAUUGCAAUUGAUACUGGCAGCCUUGAGUACAGUUGAGGUAGGCGGAAUUCGUGGUGUAGAGGGGAAAUGAUUAGAUAUCACGAAGAACUCCGAUUGCGAAGGCAGCUUACUAAACUGCCACUGACAUUGAUGCUCGAAAGUGUGGGUAUCAAACAGGAUUAGAUACCCGAGUAGUC